rnacentral:rRNA from 1 species
AGCGAACGCUGGCGGCAGGCUUAACACAUGCAAGUCGAGCGGGCGUAGCAAUACGUCAGCGGCAGACGGGUGAGUAACGCGUGGGAACGUACCUUUUGGUUCGGAACAACACAGGGAAACUUGUGCUAAUACCGGAUAAGCCCUUACGGGGAAAGAUUUAUCGCCGAAAGAUCGGCCCGCGUCUGAUUAGCUAGUUGGUGAGGUAACGGCUCACCAAGGCGACGAUCGGUAGCUGGUCUGAGAGGACGACCAGCCACACUGGGACUGAGACACGGCCCAGACUCCUACGGGAGGCAGCAGUGGGGAAGUCUUGCGCAAUGGGCGAAAGCCUGACGCAGCGACGCCGCGUGGGGGAGUGACGGCCUCGG